GGAGAACAUCAAGGGAACCACACAGACAGACAUACACCUUCAAUGUGAAGUGUUGUGUUUCCUAUAGAUGGUGGACAAGCUGAGAGAGCACCUCAACAGACACCUGCCUCGUCUGGGGAAGAAGAAGAUCGACGUGCUGGUGGUGAACUACGUGGCCAAGCUGCUGGAGCUGAUCAGACGCAUGCUGGAGUCUGUGUGGCUAAAGUACAAACUAGGCCCUCUGGUGCUGUGCUU